GAAUUAUAACUGGACGAAAUCAAAAUUAGAAAACGGUUUGGCACUUGCAAAAAAUCACAGCAGAGAUAUUCAUGAUAUUUAUGUAGGACUUGAUAUUUGGGGAAGAUGUUGUCCUGGUGGUGGUGGAUUUAAUUCAACAUAUGCUUUACCAAAAAUACGACACUAAGGACUUUCUGUCGCGCUUUUUGGUCCAGGUUGGACUCACGAAUUUUUCGGAUCUAAGACAUUCCAAGAAAUAGAAGAUCUAUUUUGGGCACAGUUGUUUCCUUGUUUAUAGCAAACGGAAGUCAACACGAACCAAUACUAGUUCUCGGCAAUAAUACCGGCUUAAAAUCCAUCGUUCGUUAUAAAUCAAGGGAGUUGGUUGCCAACUGGAAAAGAUGAAAGCAGAUAUAUAUGUGUCUGGUUGACAUUAUGAUUAGCUGCCUGUAAGGAAUCUUCAUUUGGACUAGACCAACCACAGUAGCCAUACGGACGACGAUGCGCUAGCCACUUGCACUGCAAUCGACAAGCAGUACACCAUACCCAAAACAACAGCACAAGAAAUUAGAAAUAUAAUCGAAAAAACAAAAAACAACAAAGCACUAGAAAUCGAUCUAAUCAAUGGCAAAAUAUUGAAAAACCUCCCUCCAAAAGCGAUACGACUAAUCACUAUAAUAUUCAAUGCAAUACCAAGAAUACAAUAUUAUCCUACAUUAUGGAAACAGGCACAAAUCAUAAUGUUACCCAAACCAGGCAAAGACCCGCAUGAAGCAACAUCCUACAGACCAAUAUCACUACUCCCCGUGCUCUCCAAAAUACUAGAAAAAGUAAUAUACGCCCGACUAAAACCAAUAAUAGAGAAGGAAAAAUUAAUACCAGACCAUCAAUUUGGAUUCAGAAACAAACACUCCACCAUAGAACAAAUGCACAGACUUGUCAACGAAAUAAUACACAUAAUAGAAAACAAACAAU